CCCCCCCCGCCGUGGGAGCUGCCGCCGGGCAGGAGGAGGAAGAGCAGCAAGGGCGAGCGGGCGCCCUGCUCCCCCCAGCCCCAGGUGAGCAUGCGGCGGCCCCCCGGGCUUGCCGCGGGGCUGGAGCUGCCCCGGGGGCACCCAGGGCUGCGGGUCCCCCCUCCAGAGCGGCAGGGUCCCUGGCGGCGGGACCGUCCCUAACGGAGGCUCUCGGCGGUGGUGGCAGCCGGUGCCCCCGCCGUGGUCCCCAGCGCUGCUGUGCGCGCUCCGGGAGGAGGAGGAGGAGGAGGAAGCCUUGGCUGCCAUGCUGAUGUCCUGGUACAUGAGCGGCUACCACACCGGCUUCUACAUGGGCCUCCGCAAGGGCCGGGCCGAGGCGGCCGCACUGCUGCCGAGACGGGGCUGCAGGCAGAAGAAGCCAUCGCCGCGCAGCUAGGAGGGCAGCUGGAUCGGCGUCCCCGUGUCCCGCUGCAGGGGCAGGGCUGGGGCGAAGUGCAGCGCUCCCGGCCUCGCCUUGCCGCGGGGGGGCCCAGUGGUGGGAGCCCGGGAGGAGGGGGAGCCGCUGUCCCCCCGCCACGGGCCGGCUCUGCCUCCGUGCCUGGCCUCGGAGGCGCCGCAACCCCCCGGGCUGCCCCGGCCGUGCUCCCCCCGCACAGGGAUUUGGGAAUAAAGCUGCUUUGUGGGAUGCUGUGUGCUGGGGCUGUCUGCACCCCGGGGAAGGGGCCCGGCCCYGCGCAGGGGCCUGGUGCUCGCUCUCAGCCCAGGACUCGAACGGGGCUCGGUGUCC
ensembl:lncRNA